rnacentral:misc_RNA from 1 species
GAUGAAGAACGCAGCGAAAUGCGAUAAGUAAUGUGAAUUGCAGAAUUCAGUGAAUCAUCGAAUCUUUGAACGCACAUUGCGCCCGCCAGUAUUCUGGCGGGCAUGCCUGUUCGAGCGUCAUUUCAACCAUCAAGCCCCAGGCUUGUGUUGGGGACCUGCGGCUGCCGCAGGCCCUGAAAACCAGUGGCGGGCUCGCUGUCACACCGGGCGUAGUAGAUUUUAUCUCGCUCAGGGCGUGCUGCGGGUUCCGGCCGUUAAAAAGCCUUUUUUACCCAAGGUUGACCUCGGAUCAGGUAGGAAGACCCGCUGACUUAAGCAUAUCAAUAAGCGGAGGA